rnacentral:rRNA from 1 species
UACGAGGGGAGCAAGCGUUGUUCGGAUUUACUGGGCGUAAAGGGCGCGUAGGCGGCGUGACAAGUCACUUGUGAAAUCUCCGGGCUUAACUCGGAACGGUCAAGUGAUACUGUCGUGCUAGAGUACAGAAGGGGCAACUGGAAUUCUCGGUGUAGCGGUGAAAUGCGUAGAUAUCGAGAGGAACACCUGCGGCGAAGGCGGGUCUCUGGACAGUUCCUGACACUGAGGCACGAAGGCCAGGGGAGCAAACGGG